UGCCUUACACAUGCAAGUCGAACGGUAACGCGGGGCAACCUGGCGACGAGUGGCGAACGGGUGAGUAACGCAUCGGAACGUACCCAAUAGUGGGGGAUAGCCCGGCGAAAGCCGGAUUAAUACCGCAUACGACCUACGGGUGAAAGCGGGGGAUCGCAAGACCUCGCGCUAUUGGAGCGGCCGAUGUCAGAUUAGGUAGUUGGUGAGGUAAAGGCUCACCAAGCCUUCGAUCUGUAGCUGGUCUGAGAGGACGACCAGCCACACUGGGACUGAGACACGGCCCAGACUCCUACGGGAGGCAGCAGUGGGGAAUUUUGGACAAUGGGCGCAAGCCUGAUCCAGCCAUGCCGCGUGCGGGAAGAAGGCCUUCGGGUUGUAAACCGCUUUUGUCAGGGAAGAAACACUCUGGGCUAAUACCUCGGGGUAAUGACGGUACCUGAAGAAUAAGCACCGGCUAACUACGUGCCAGCAGCCGCGGUAAUACGUAGGGUGCGAGCGUUAAUCGGAAUUACUGGGCGUAAAGCGUGCGCAGGCGGUUAUGCAAGACAGAUGUGAAAUCCCCGGGCUUAACCUGGGAACUGCAUUUGUGACUGCAUGGCUAGAGUGCGGCAGAGGGGGAUGGAAUUCCGCGUGUAGCAGUGAAAUGCGUAGAUAUGCGGAGGAACACCGAUGGCGAAGGCAAUCCCCUGGGCCUGCACUGNACGCUCAUGCACGAAAGCCGUG
rnacentral:rRNA from 1 species